rnacentral:rRNA from 1 species
UUGACCUCGGAUCAGGUAGGGAUACCCGCUGAACUUAAGCAUAUCAAUAAGCGGAGGAAAAGAAACCAACAGGGAUUGCCCUAGUAACGGCGAGUGAAGCGGCAACAGCUCAAAUUUGAAAUCUGGCCCUCCUUGGGGGUCCGAGUUGUAAUUUGCAGAGGGUGCUUUGGCAUCGGCGGCGGUCUAAGUUCCUUGGAACAGGACAUCGCAGAGGGUGAGAAUCCCGUACGUGGGCGCCUGCCUUUGCCGUGUAAAGCCCCUUCGACGAGUCGAGUUGUUUGGGAAUGCAGCUCUAAAUGGGAGGUAAAUUUCUUCUAAAGCUAAAUACCGGCCAGAGACCGAUAGCGCACAAGUAGAGUGAUCGAAAGAUGAAAAGUACUUUGGAAAGAGAGUCAAAUAGCACGUGAAAUUGUUGAAAGGGAAGCGCUUGCAGCCAGACGUGCCCGCAGUUGCUCACCCAGGCUCCGGCCUGGGGCACUCUUCUGCGGGCAGGCCAGCAUCAGUUUGGGCGGUUGGAUAAAGGCCUCUGUCACGUAUCUCCCUUCGGGGUGACCUUAUAGGGGAGGCGCAAUGCAACCAGCCCGGACUG